GAUGAACGCUGGCGGCGUGCCUAAUACAUGCAAGUCGAGCGAAUGGAUUAAGAGCUUGCUCUUAUGAAGUUAGUGGCGGACGGGUGAGUAACACGUGGGUAACCUGCCCAUAAGACUGGGAUAACUCCGGGAAACCGGGGCUAAUACCGGAUAACAUUUUGAAUCGGAUGGUUCCAAAUUCAAAGGCGGCUUCGGCUGUCCAUAAUGCAUGGAACCGUGUCGCAUUAGCUAGUUGGUGAGGUAACGGCUCACCAAGGCAACGUUGCGUAGCCGACCUGAGAGGGUGAUCGGCCACACUGGGACUGAGACACGGCCCAGACUCCUACGGGAGGCAGCAGUAGGGAAUCUUCCGCAAUGGACGAAAGUCUGACGGAGCAACGCCGCGUGAGUGAUGAAGGCUUUCGGGUCGUAAAACUCUGUUGUUAGGGAAGAACAAGUGCUAGUUGAGUAAGCUGGCACCUUGACGGUACCUAACCAGAAAGCCACGGCUAACUACGUGCCAGCCGCCGCUGUAA
rnacentral:rRNA from 1 species